CUGCUUCGGCAGCACAUAUACUAAAAUUGGAACCAUACAGAGAAGAUUAGCAUGGCCCCUGCGCAAGGAUGACACGCAAAUCAAAAUAAGAUGAGUGCUAUUCU